rnacentral:miRNA from 1 species
ACAUGGAAAUGAUGCAA